CUUACUCCCGCGCCUUCGAUCGCCCUCUCUCCCUUUCAGGCACACGCGUUGUUUUCUUUUGUUGCUAUCGCCGUCUCCGCAUCGCCGCCGCCACCUCACCCCCCCCACCCUCCUCGACGCACGCACGCCCUCUAUCAUCAUUAUCGCGCUCUCUCACACAUACACAUACCUCUUCUCUUUGCCAAGCUGAUUUCUUUAUGUUCACCAACCAGACCCUCCCCCCUCCUCCACCACCGACGCGCACAAACGCCAACACGCCCCCGCAGCCCUCGCGUCAGCACGCACACGCACACACACGCAUCCCUCUCCCUCUUUGCUUGGCAUCCCUUGCUGUUUCCUUACCCUUUUCGUCUUUGGUAUCCACGUCGCAUACACGACGCCUGUUCUUCAGUGUGUGCGCGGACCUGUGCGAUACGUCUGUCGCCUUUUACGAUUGCGACUGUGCUGGGGGUCUCACUGUGGGCGCUUGAUCGCCGUGUCUGUCGGUGGGUAGUGUCAAGGGCGAGCGGUGCAGCAGCGCUUGCCUCUCAUCUGUGCUCCCCCCUCCCUCCCUCCUUAUACUCCUCUCUGUUCUUUGGAGCAAAUCCUGCUGCGCGUUUCCGCUGUCGCUCUCCCUCUGUCCCCCUUGUGAGUGAGCGCGUCGCUCUCUCUCCUUCGUGUGCGCGUGUGUAGGCCCCCCUCCCCCUCCCCGGGCCUCUUUGCAGUUUCUUCUUUGUUGUUUUUGCUUCUGCCCGUGUGCACAUUUGCGCUUUGCCUCUCCCCCACCGUCUCGUGUGUUUCGCCGUUGGCCCUCCCCUCCCCUCCCGCUUUGGCCCGCCUCCGCACAUCUCCUCCGCUCCGCAUUCCUGUGGGGUACUCGGUGCGCCAACAACCAUUGUGGGCGAAACACACGCGCAUCCAGGAGCGGAAGCCUACUCAGUGUGUCCGUCUGCGUUUUCGUUUUCGUCCUCCGGUGGCCGCUGGUCCGUGUCUAUGUCGGUCAGUUCCCGGAGAAGUCUUUCCUUCCUGAAUUCGCUCCUCAAGGCGCACCGCAACAGCCACACCUAAGCACGAGCACACACGCAUACCCCCCUGUCUUACCUUCUUGUGUGUGUAUCUGUGUGUGUGUGUGUGUGUGUUGGUGGGCGCCUCACAUGUCUAUCACAGUUGCAGCCGAGGAGAAGCUAUACCCCUCCUUCCGCUUCGCCAUUGAUCGCGGCGGCACGUUCACGGACAUUAUCGCCCAUGUCACUCAUGCAGACGGUACGGUGACUCAGGAAGUCACGAAGUUGCUCUCUGUAGACCCACAGCACUACGCCGAUGCCCCAAGCGAAGGCAUUCGUCGCAUUCUGCGCAAGCACCUCCCCGAGAAGGUGGCUGCCACCGGCCCGGUCGAUGUGUCGCACCUUGAAGAAGUCCGCAUGGGCACAACCAUCGCAACGAACGCGCUUCUGGAACACAACGGCGAGCGCUGCGCCAUGGUGCUGACGGAAGGCUUCGAGGACAUCCUCACCAUUCGCGACCAGGCGCGCCCGCACCUCUUUGCGCUGAACAUCGUGAAGGCCCAGGCGCUCCCGGAGCAAGUGAUGGCUGCGAAGGAGCGCAUUCGCCCGGUGUCGGACAAGGAGCAGGCCGCGUACGCGUCGCAAGCGGAGUGGCCGUCGACGUGGGUGCGCUGCGGGGAGAGCUUUGUGAUGGAUGUGCUGCAGCCGCUGCACACCGAUGACAUCCGGCAGAAGCUACAGGCGGCCUACGAUGCCGGCAUCCGCAGCGUGGCCGUGUGUCUUCUUCACUCGUACGCCUACGCCGUGCACGAGCAGCAGGUCAAGCACAUUUCGCAGGAGGUCGGCUUCCCCGCCAUUUCGCUGUCCAGCGAGCUCAUGGCGCUCAUCAAGUACGUGCCACGCUCCAUCACGGCCUCCGUGGACGCCUACCUGAGCCCGCUCAUCCUCAACUACAUCGCCUCCUUCAAGGCGAACUUCGCGCACAAUCUGGCCGGUGUGCGGCUGUACUUUAUCCAGAGCGACGGCGGGUUGACGAGCGCCGACACCUUCUACGGCUACCGUGCCGUGCUUAGCGGCCCGGCUGGUGGUGUGGUGGGGUAUGCCCACACCUGCGCCGAAGACUUGGGCGCCACCGUGCAGGCUGUGGGCUUUGACAUGGGUGGCACAAGCACUGACGUCUCGAGAUGCGAAGGGCCAGUAGUGUACCACACCGUCGAGGCCGAGAUUGCUGGCACGCCAGUGCAGGCCCCGCAGGUGCAAGUGCACACUGUCGCCGCUGGCGGCGGGUCGCUGCUGCGGUGGGAAAACGGGAUGUUCCACGUGGGUCCCACCUCUGCGGGCGCGCACCCGGGACCCGCCUGCUACGGCAAGGGUGGUCCACUGACAGUGACAGAUGCAAAUCUGGUGCUGGGCCACCUGCACCCCGACUACUUCCCCAAGGUGUUUGGCCCCAACGCGGACCAGCCGCUGGACAAGAAGGCCUCUGUGAAACUGUUCAAGGCCUUGGCCGCCGAGAUCGCACGCGACUGCAGCGAGGGCACUGGCCCCUUCAUGUCCGUCGAGGAGCUAGCCUUUGCGUUUGUCCUCGUGGCGAACGAGGCGAUGUGCCGCCCCAUUCGCAACAUCACCGAGGCCAGCGGCCACCGCUGCGCCGAGCACGCGCUGGCGGUCUUCGGCGGUGCCGGCGGCCAGCACGCGUGUGCCAUGGCCCGCUCAUUGGGCAUGAACAAGAUCUACGUGCACCGCCUCGCCUCCAUCCUAAGUGCCGUGGGGGCAAGUGUGACGGAUGUUGUGGAGGAGCGCAUGGCAAGCGUGCGGCUGGACCUGCGCGCGGAGGGACUGGCGCCGGUGGUGGUGCAACAGUUCGACGAGCUCAUCGGCUCUGCUGCGGCUCAGCUGCGUCGACUUGGCUUCGACGACAAUCACAUUGUCAUUGAGCGCUUCCUGAGCAUGCAGUACGAGGGCACCAACACGAGCCUGAUAAUCGCGGAAGGCGAUGACCAGGCGGUCGCCGCGUCAGCCGUCUUCAGCGCUGAAAAGUUUGAGCGCCUCUACCUGGCGCAGUAUCAGCAGCAGUACGGCUUUGUCCUAAGCGGCGCCCGCCGCAUCAUCAUCGACGGUGUGCGCAUCCGUACGCGUGGAACGCUGCAAAGCCGAUCCGAGCGCGAGGCACAGGCGGCAAGCGCGGCGACUGCGACGCAGAAGCAACUCCAGCAGCCGCCGUACACGACUCGGACGGAGAAGGUGCCUCCGCAGCCGGUGUCCAUGACGCGCAGCUACUUCGCCUCUGGCUGGGAGGAAAUUCCUGUUUAUCACGUCGACCCCGCCAACGGGCCUCUCCGCGGCCCCGCGCUGCUCAUCAUGAACGGCACGAGCGUGCUGCUGGAGCACGAGUCCACGGCAUACACGAACGACAAGGGCAACGUUAUCAUCCACACGGCGCAGAUCGUGGAGCAGUUCACGACGGAGCUGAGCCCGCUGCCGCUCUCCAUCUUUUCUCACCGCUUCAUGUCAAUAGCAGAGCAGAUGGGCAACGCGCUGCAGCGGACGAGCAUCUCAACCAACAUCAAAGAGCGUCUGGACUUCAGCUGCGCCAUCUUCGACCCAGACGGCAACCUCGUCGCCAAUGCGCCGCACAUCCCCGUGCACCUCGGGGCUAUGGGGGCCGCGGUGCGCUGGCAGCGCGACCACUACGGAUCGGAGUGGAAGGAGGGCGACGUUAUGUUGACGAACCACCCCGCCUGCGGCGGUAGUCACCUGCCCGACAUUACCGUCAUCUCCGCGUUCUUCCAUGAAGGCAAGAUCGUGUCCUACGUCGCCUCGCGUGGCCACCACGCCGACGUCGGGGGUACGACGCCGGGAUCCAUGCCGCCCUUCUCGAAGACACUCAUGGAAGAAGGGGCGGCCAUCAAGACACUGAAGCUGGUCCAGCAAGGCACCUUCAACGAGGACGGCAUCCGCGAGGCCCUGCUCGCCCCCGGCAAGCUACCCGGCAUGUCCGGUUGUCGCACCAUCGAGGACAGCGUCUCUGACCUCCGUGCGCAGGUGGCCGCGAACAACCGCGGCAUUCAGCUGCUGCAGGGACUGAUCGAGUCCUAUACUCUGGAGGUGGUGCAAGCAUACAUGAAGCACAUCCAGACCACCGCCGAGCUCGCCGCACGCAGGGUGCUGCAGCGCAUCGCUCGCGAGUACGGCGAAGCCGCAGAGAGCGGCACCGCGGACACGGGUCUGGUGACGCUGCAGGCGACAGACUACAUGGACGACGGCACGCCGAUCUGCCUGCGCAUCUCGAUCCAGCCGGAGAGCGGCGAAGCCACGUUUGAUUUCACCGGCUCCGGCAGCCAAGUACUGAACUCGACCAACUGCCCGACCGCCGUCGUGCACUCCUCCAUCAUCUACUGCAUCCGCUGCCUCGUCGACUCCGACAUUCCGCUGAACCAGGGCUGCAUGAAGCCGAUCACGGUGGUGGUGCCGCCCAACUCCAUCCUGAGCCCCGACGAGGACCUUCCGGUAGUGGCGGGCAAUGUGACGACGAGCCAGCGCGUGACGGAUGUGGUACUCAUGGCGCUGCGUGCCGUCGCCAACUCACACGGCUGCAUGAACAACUUCACUCUGGGCUCCAGCGACUUCGCCUAUUACGAGACCAUCUGUGGCGGCAGCGGCGCCGGCCCAACCUUCGCCGGCACCUCUGCCGUGCACACGAACAUGACAAAUACGCGACUCACCGACCCAGAGAUAUUCGAGGCGCGCUACCCGAUCCUACUGCGAACCUUCCGCAUCCGCCGCGACUCUGGCGGUGCAGGCCUCCACCGCGGUGGCGACGGCGUGGUGCGCAGUGUGCUUGCGCUGCGUGACAUGAUCGCGGUAGUGCUGACGGAGCGGCGUGUGUUGGCGCCGCAGGGUCUCCUUGGCGGCGGCAGCGGCGAGCGGGGCUUGAACAUGUUGUAUGUGCCAGUCACCCCAUCGCACACAGCCACCCUCGGCGCGCCUGUGUGGAAGAACGCGCACGACAUGCUGCACGACAAGAUGCGCGGGCCGUGGAUGGAGGAGGAGCAAACAACCCUCUACCACCCUCGCAACAUCGGCGGCAAAAAUGUCGUGGAUGUAAAGAUGGGUGACAUCAUCACCCUCUACACUGCCGGCGGUGGCGGGUGCUACGCCGCGGCGGCGUAGUCGUCGUCUGCGUUCGACAAGCACGACAGCGGCCGGUGAGCAAUGGGAGGGGGUUGCAGAUGGCUCGAGCACGAAGGAAAGGAAGAGCAGCGCAGCGUACACAAGUGACACGGUCUCGCUUAGUCUGUCGGCACCACACGCGACACAUGCACGCAGUGGCGCCGCACAAGAGCGAGAGCUGAACUCGUACUCAAUCGGAAGAGAGUGGACACCUUGAAAACGACAUGCUCUUCCUGUAACGUGUAAGCCGCGUGUGCGUAUGUGUAUCUGUCUCUGACUCCGUGUGGCCGCCGUGGCUGCCUCUCUCCUUGCGUCUGAUGUGCUCCAUGUUGUGCUCCCUUGGCCCGUUUGUAUUGGUGGACAUGGCGAGUGGGGCAAAGAGGGAGUAACCCCACCAACCUAUGCUUACUUGUCUUCUUUUACCAGUCUCCUUCACCUCCUGUACCGUCUUUCCUCCCCACCCACGCCCCACCGCCCUCCACUUGUGUGUGUGUCUGUGGCGGCAGAGAGGGAAAAAAGC
rnacentral:misc_RNA from 1 species